rnacentral:lncRNA from 1 species
GUCAGGAUUUGAAGUCACAUGAAUCUAAACUAAAUGAGUCCAGCUGCUGUUCUCAGAUCUACAGGAGGAGAGAAUCUGGGUGGAGAAUCACAGAAAACUUCUUACUUCAUGUUGUCGAACUGUUCCCUCAGUGUCUGGCAGAUCUUUUCAAUGGCCUUAGCUGUAUCUCUCAGUGAUUGGCUCGCUUCAGUCACAUGAUUAUUCUUGAUCUGGUCUUUCCAGUUGUCAAUCGCCUCAGGAAGUUCAAACGCCAGUCCAACAGCUCCUCCUACAACCUGAUGAUGAAUAUGGAUCAACACGUGAUUCAUUUUCAAUAUUAUCAGACUGUCAGCCUCAGAACACGUGUCCCAAAAUCAUUAAAAAAAACGAUAAUUAACAAUCACAAAUAAAGAAAUGCUGUUAUUUAAUUUUAAAAUGAUUUAUGAGAUUUAAUUAUGAAACAAUUCAUGUGUGUAUAGUUAGUGAAUCUUACCAUAGCGCCUCCUUUAAAGGCUGUUUUACAUCCAGUCUUAGCCAUGUCUUUGGUGAGUUUUUUUGCUCCUUCUUCAGCAAUUUUAAUCAUUGGUAUGGUGAAUUCUUUAGCUCCUUUAUUAAACAAAUGUUUGUAUAUUUUCCCAUUAACUUUAAAUGUGAAAAAUUGUAAAAUAUUGGCAAGUUUUACUACCAGUGCAACUUUCACUGCAGGUCUGAGUAAGAUCUGGUUGAUGUUUCUCUUUAUUGCAACAAAAAUCCUCUUGAAAUUCAAUGCCAUUUCAGUCCACAUCUUCUGGCCAGGCCUUUCAGAAUGUCAGUUAUGACGUGUUGGUGGUCCACUUCAUCUGGGUCAGUGGAGGAACUCUCAACCUUCAGUUGCUUGAACAGAUCCUGGAUUUCUUCUGCAACCUCUUUGCUCUUCUUUUCAAUCUCUGCGCCUCUUUAAUGGUGUCACUGGAUUUGAAGCCCUCAAUGAUUUUAGUACCCACAGAUACAGUGGCACCUGCACCUGUACACACUGCUCCUGCCAUACCUAAAAGUGGAGCAGCUGCACCGCCGGUGAACAAAGUGGCCACACCGGCUGCGAUCAUACAUGCAGAUCCAGCCACUGACACUGUGGUUCCAACACAUUCACUGAUAUUACAAUUCUUUCUGCAUGACUCCAGCUCUUUGGCCAGUUUCCUCAGCUGCUCUGCACAGCACUCCCUCUGAUCGAUCCAGGAGAACAUCAACUCCAGCAGCUGGUCCGCGAUGGCCAUGAUGUAGGUCUCUGUGUCCUUCUGAUCCUCCAACCAGAGACCAGACAACUGAGAACAAGUCUGAAAGAAGAAAGUCCCUUUGAAUUAUCUGGUGCAACUAAAAACAUCUCCAUGACACCUGAGUAAACUGUAUCUGCUGAUGAAGACCAUGAAACACAAGUAAAAGCCCCAAAGAGGCCCUUGAGUUAAAUUUCCUUGUCAAACUUGUCAGGUCAAGAAUUAAUUUUUUACAUUAGAAAUCAUUUAAAGCAGCUGGUUUAACAAACUGUAGAACUGUAAAAUAACUUCUCUUUAAAUGUUUUUGAUGAAGUGAGUUAACACACAAGAAAGAAAAAAUGAGUAGCAAGAAAAGUUAAUUCAUCAUGUUUUGCUAAAACUGGGAGAUUAGAGUGCAUCUAAUUUCUCCAGUUUAACAGAGUAAAAACCACGUCUGACUGUCAGUGUAUUUGCACAAUAAACUUCCUCAUAGCUACACAUACACACUGUAACCCCUAUACAGGAAGGAUUACAGAACACACACGAUAGGAUCACAUCAUUGCCAUGUUCUUAAGAAAUUAAAUAUCUUAAGUUUUAAUAAUUUCAUUUAAUUUGCUGAUCUUAAACUCAUCUAUAAAUGUCUACAUAUCCAGACUCCCCAGGUGCUCAUUUUAAACUUAAACAGUCUUUGGAAGAGAAUCUGUUGCCAUGAAUGAUCAGGUGUCUUUAAAGGCCCAUCUAGGGACUGGUUUUGAGUUUAGGCUACUGGAGUAAUGCAGGGUAUACGCAAGUAUAUGGGCUAUACCCACUUAUUUCUUUUCUAUUUUCAGAAUUGGGUAGAUCCACUUCUAAACCCCCUGUGAGGCUCAUCAAUCAGUAGUGUUCUGUGAGCUCAUUAUUUUUCCCUAGGAUGGACGAAGACAUGACAUACAGCAGUUUAAUGAGUGAAUGAAGUAAAGACUAAGGAAAAAUAAAUAAUAAUAAUAAAUAAAUAGUAUUUAUUGCAAGAUCUGCUCCUCUUCUGUGUCUAAUGUUAAUUUCAUAAUGAACCUUACUGCCGGAAGUCAACAGCAGUAGAAGUUAAGUGACAAGGUGCAAAUAUUACCUGCCCAUUUGUUAGUCAACUAUACAAAAGUAGUCUUCCCCUGUCACUGUUUGUAACACAGGGAGUUUAGCGUUUGUUUGAUGGGCUCCUUAGAAACAUUGGGGACAUAGAUAAAUGUGUAGCCACUUCUCCAGGCAGCACUACACAACUGGCUUCGGCUAUAAAUGCUGUGGUGUGUUGCAUUUGUUUAUGCUAUAUGCUAAGAUACAAACAAACAUAAAAAACAAGACACCUAAAUCAUCUCAAUGACAACUGAGCAAACUCCAUCCACUGAGGAAGGCCACAAGAUGUAGAUGAAAGCUCAAGAAACAGCCAUUAAUGUGGAGCUUGUGUUGAGAUUUUAUUGCUGAUCUGCUGUUUUAAAGAUCAAGAAUGAAACUUCAAGCUGACUAGAAUAUGAUGUGUCAUAAACUGAAGUAAAUAUGUUGGAGGAACAAAACACAGAGAAUGUAAUUGUAAUCUUACCUGCUGUGGAGCGUCACAGGUUAAAGUCCUUACCUUUUGUUGAGAGACAGGAGGCAAACACAUAUAGUUGCAUGUUUCUGUUUUUCUAUUGGCUGAUUCAGAAUCAGGUGUUACCAAAAGUAAAAGUGAAACUGCUGCAGUGGAAUUCCCCAGGACAGAUCUGUAAUAAAAACAUAUCUAUGAAUAUUAUAUUACAUUACACACUGGAUCCUAAACGCCUCAAUGUUAAAUGUUUUUAAACUGUAUUUUCAAAAUAUUUCAUGUCAUUUUUUAAGCAGGUGAAGUGUAAUUGAUCAAAAACAACCCAAAAAUGAAAUAAGACAAAACUCCUUCCUGCUCGGGAUAAAAAGGCAACGGGACGGUUACUUUAUUGAUGAACACAACAACGAAUACAUCAAGUUCUGGUAGCACUGUAAUAACAUUGGUCAUUACCAUAUUAAAAUGCUGAAAUUAAUCUUCCCUUAUGUUUCAAACAUUGCUUGGUGUUUCAAGGUAAUACUGUACAAAUAAUAUGUUUAAUGCUGUGACCUGUUAGCUGGAAACAACUGUUUCUGUUGAAUUUCUCACUAAUUAAUUAAUCACCAUUAAUGCAUGUUACUAACUUCACUUCUUCCCCGGAGUUCUUGUGCUUUCUUGUCUCACAGGUUCUUAUCAAUCCUGGUGGAGCCUCCUGCCAUGGUCCUGCUAGAUUGCCAUUGCCAAUACUGUUGUUGCUGUGCACCUGUCUGUCUCUCUCUCUCUCUCUCUCUCUCUCUCUCUCUCUCUCUCUCUCUCUCUCUCUCUCUCUCACCCCAACUGGUCGAGACAGACGACCACCCACCUAGAGCCGAAGGAUCUGUCCUAGGUUUCUGCCUUUUAACAGGCAGUUUUUCCUUGCCCUUGUCUCCAAGGUCUUGCUCAUGGUGGUACUGUUGGGUCUCUGUAAAUAAUGUUUUAAAGAGUUCGGUCUAGACCUGCUCUAUUUGAAAAGUGUCCUGAGAUAACUUCUGUUAUGAAUUGGCGCUAUACAAAUAAAAUUGAAUUGAAUUGAAUUGAAUUAAUUUCAACUAAACACAUUUCAUACGGUUGAUGUUUUGAACAUAUUUUACAUUUCAAACAAAUGUAUUUUAUUGGCAUAUUCACCAUUAUUUGUAUAUAACAUAAAGGGAUGAUUUGGAAACAAACCAACAGCAGAAUCAACACAAUCUCAGCAACUGUAUGCACACACACUAAAACUUGUACUACGAGUGUUUGGUAGUCGUUCCACAAUUUUCUGCAGACCUGUUGGACUGAUAGUAUCUGUAAAUUCCCUGAACAGGUGAGUCUCCCAGACAACAGAUCACGUGUACACUUUUUUAGGUACACUGGUACAAUCAAAGGCAGUCCAAUACAACAGCUCUGCCAUCAACUCUAUAUUUAGAGAGAUUAUAAUGUUGAGUUUCUGUUGACCCUGUCAGACAGGUUUACAGAUGUGAGGUGGGAGGGGUUAUUUCAGGUCAAAAAAACUAAGCAGUGAAUCAACUGCACUUAAAGAGUUUAUUUUAUUUAUGUUUUAUUUUAUUAUUUGGUUGUAGAGGUUGGAGGUACUGGGGGCUGUGGUUGAGGAGGUUGGAGGUACUGGGUGCUGUGGUUGAGGGGGUUGGGGUACUGGGGCUGUGGUUGAGGAGGUUGGAGGUACUGGGGCUG